UACGUAGGGUGCGAGCGUUGUCCGGAAUUAUUGGGCGUAAAGAGCUUGUAGGCGGUUUGUCGCGUCUGCCGUGAAAAUUCGAGGCUCAACCUCGAACUUGCGGUGGGUACGGGCAGACUAGAGUGUGGUAGGGGAGACUGGAAUUCCUGGUGUAGCGGUGAAAUGCGCAGAUAUCAGGAGGAACACCGGUGGCGAAGGCGGGUCUCUGGGCAACAACUGACGCUGAGGAGCGAAAGCGUGGGGAGCGAACAGG
rnacentral:rRNA from 1 species